GGAAUAUUGGACAAUGGGUGAAAGCCUGAUCCAGCCAUCCCGCGUGAAGGACGACGGCCCUAUGGGUUGUAAACUUCUUUUGUAUAGGGAUAAACCUUUCCACGUGUGGAAAGCUGAAGGUACUAUACGAAUAAGCACCGGCUAACUCCGUGCCAGCAGCCGCGGUAAUACGGAGGGUGCAAGCGUUAUCCGGAUUUAUUGGGUUUAAAGGGUCCGUAGGCGGACUCGUAAGUCAGUGGUGAAAUCUCAUAGCUUAACUAUGAAACUGCCAUUGAUACUGCGGGUCUUGAGUAAAGUAGAAGUGGCUGGAAUAAGUAGUGUAGCGGUGAAAUGCAUAGAUAUUACUUAGAACACCAAUUGCGAAGGCAGGUCACUAUGUUUUAACUGACGCUGAUGGACGAAAGCGUGGGGAGCGAACA
rnacentral:rRNA from 1 species